AGUGAACGCUGGCGGUAGGCCUAACACAUGCAAGUCGAACGGCAACACAGUAAGAGCUUGCUCUUACGGGUGGCGAGUGGCGGACGGGUGAGGAGUACAUCGGAAUCUACUUUUUCGUGGGGGAUAACGUAGGGAAACUUACGCUAAUACCGCAUACGACCUACGGGUGAAAGCAGUGGAUCUUCGGACCUUGCGCGAUUGAAUUAGCCGAUGUCGGAUUAGCUAGUUGGCGGGGUAAAGGCCCACCAAGGCGACGAUCCGUAGCUGGUCUGAGAGGAUGAUCAGCCACACUGGAACUGAGACACGGUCCAGACUCCUACGGGAGGCAGCAGUGGGGAAUAUUGGACAAUGGGCGCAAGCCUGAUCCAGCCAUACCGCGUGGGUGAAGAAGGCCUUCGGGUUGUAAAGCCCUUUUGUUGGGAAAGAAAAGCAGCAGGUUAAUACCCCGCUGUUCUGACGGUACCCAAAGAAUAAGCACCGGCUAACUUCGUG
rnacentral:rRNA from 1 species